CCUACGGGUGGCAGCAGUGAGGAAUAUUGGUCAAUGGGCGCGAGCCUGAACCAGCCAAGUCGCGUGAAGGAAGAAUGCUCUACGGUUUGUAAACUUCUUUUAUAAAGGAAUAAAGUGAGGCACGUGUGCCUUUUUGCAUGUAUUUUAUGAAUAAGGAUCGGCUAACUCCGUGCCAGCAGCCGCGGUAAUACGGAGGAUCCGAGCGUUAUCCGGAUUUAUUGGGUUUAAAGGGUGCGUAGGUGGGUUGUUAAGUCAGUUGUGAAAGUUUGCGGCUCAACCGUAAAAUUGCAAUUGAUACUGGCAGCCUUGAGUACAGUUGAGGUAGGCGGAAUGCGUGGUGUAGCGGUGAAAUGCUUAGAUAUCACGAAGAACUCCGAUUGCGAAGGCAGCCUACUAAGCUGCCACUGACAUUGAUGCACGAAAGCGUGGGGAUCAAACAGGAUUAGAUACCCUAGUAGUC
rnacentral:rRNA from 1 species